UACGGAGGAUGCAAGCGUUAUCCGGAUUCAUUGGGUUUAAAGGGUGCGUAGGCGGGCUAUUAAGUCAGUGGUGAGAUCCUGCAGCUUAACUGCAGAACUGCCGUUGAUACUGAUAGUCUUGAGUUUGGUUAAGGUAGGCGGAAUGUGUAAUGUAGCGGUGAAAUGCUUAGAUAUUACACAGAACACCAAUUGCGUAGGCAGCUUACUGAGCCGACACUGACGCUGAGGCACGAAAGCGUGGGGAUCAAACA
rnacentral:rRNA from 1 species